AGUCGUAACAAGGUUUCCGUAUGUGAACCUGCGGAAGGAUCAUUACCGAUCGCUGGCCCCUCGGGGCCCAACCUCCCACCCGUGUUGCCCGAACCUAUGUUGCCUCGGCGGGCCCCGCGCCCGCCGACGGCCCCCCUGAACGCUGUCUGAAGUUGCAGUCUGAGACCUAUAACGAAAUUAUUAAAACUUUCAACAACGGAUCUCUUGGUUCCGGCAUCGAUGAAGAACGCAGCGAAAUGCGAUAACUAAUGUGAAUUGCAGAAUUCAGUGAAUCAUCGAGUCUUUGAACGCACAUUGCGCCCUCUGGUAUUCCGGAGGGCAUGCCUGUCCGAGCGUCAUUGCUGCCCUCAAGCCCGGCUUGUGUGUUGGGCCCCGUCCCCCCCGCCGGGGGGACGGGCCCGAAAGGCAGCGGCGGCACCGCGUCCGGUCCUCGAGCGUAUGGGGCUUCGUCACCCGCUCUAGUAGGCCCGGCCGGCGCCAGCCGACCCCCAACCUUUAAUUAUCUCAGGUUGACCUCGGAUCAGGUAGGGAUA
rnacentral:rRNA from 1 species